UACGAAGGGGGCGAGCGUUGUUCGGAUUUACUGGGCGUAAAGGGCGCGUAGGCGGUUAGGUAGGUCCGUUGUGAAAACUCGAGGCUCAACCUCGAGACGCCGAUGGAAACCAUCUAACUAGAGUCCGGAAGAGGAGAGUGGGAUUCCUGGUGUAGCGGUGAAAUGCGCAGAUAUCAGGAAGAACACCCGUGGCUAAGGCGGCUCUCUAGUACGGUACUGACGCUGAGACGCGAAAGCGUGGGGAGCGAACAGG
rnacentral:rRNA from 1 species